ACAGUGAAGUGGCUGAUACCAUGCUUCCAGGAAAAGUCUCUAAGCUUCAGUUACAUAGGAAUCGUACCCGAAACCGACACAGGUGGUCAGGUCGAGUAGACCAAAGCGCUUGAGAGAACUCUGCUGAAGGAACUAGGCAAAAUGGUACCGUAACUUCGGGAGAAGGUACGCUGCCGAUGGUGAUAGGACUUGCUCCUUGAGCUGUUGGCAGUCGCAGAUACCAGGCUGCUGCAACUGUUUAUUAAAAACACAGCACUCUGCAAACACGAAAGUGGACGUAUAGGGUGUGACGCCUGCCCGGUGCUUGAAGGUUAAUUGAUGGGGUUAUCUUCGGAGAAGCUCUUGAUCGAAGCCCAAGUAAACGGCGGCCGUAACAAUAACGGUCCUAAGGUAGCG
rnacentral:rRNA from 11 species